AUGAUUCAUGUUUCGCAGUGAUGGAAGAGUGGCACACGGAGCGAGCGACCCCUCACGCUAACCACCGAAAUUACACUGCUGCUGAAGUAGUGACAUCACGUGGCGAAGAAGCUAUAGUGCUUCAUGGCCUCUGCAUUCAGGCUGUAGGUACAGCACGCUAAAAUGGAAAGGGGUGCACUUUGGUCUCUAUGGCCAUAUCAGCGCUGAACAACCUCCCACGUUGACUGUGUAAUCUGUAUGUCUUACCUGCAUAUAUGUAUAUGUCUCACCUGUUGAAUACAUAUAAGGAUCCUUGCUGAAUGUAUGUAUGAUGUGUACUAUCGGUAGUGAUGUUAAUUUUGGCAUUAUGUAUUUGUAUUGCAAGUACUGACUAUAAGACAAAUUCCCUCUUGGAGGAUAAUAUAGAAUCUAUCUAUCUUCAAAAGAAAGAAACAAUAUUGGUGAAGCAGAAAGUUACCCAGUGGACAGUAGUUACUUUGAGAGUUAAGAGAAGGCUAGGAAUUGGCCAAAAAUGAUGAAUUUAGCAUUUGUACAUUUUAUUUCUCUGAAUCUGGCAACAGAACGCUAAGGUAAAAUUCUGUAAAAAUUGCCCUUCAAUAUGUUUCUUUAGUGCUGGAUCUAUGCCUGAAUGCAACAUUAGAUACCCAUUAUCGUUAUCAUGUUUUAAGACAUUUUGAACCCAUAUUUUUUUGGAUAUAAAUUCCUUGAAGAAUAUGGAGGCAAAAAAUAACAUUGACCUUUCUUUAAUAUUGUUGUUAAAGAAAACAUUAUGAAUUCAUGUAUGCACUUUAUUUGGGGUUUUAUUUAGAAAUGGCAAUGCGUAAUACAUUUGACCAACUAAUACAAUGUGGUUAUGCUGUUGGGGGAGCAUAUGAUGAAUACAGAAAUCAGGAAUACAAUGAAUACUGCAGCUUAAAUUCAACAGCACAAGGUCCUACAUCGUGCUAUUUAAUCACACACGUCUCAAAGGAAAAUGUACCAGAGGACUGUAAAAUAAUAUUUUGCAUGGAAAUUAAAAUAAGUGCUAUAUUUCUGUGGUAAAACAUGAAACAUUAAAUUCAGAAUCAGAUACCUACAGGUACUAUUUCAUGUUCAUUGUAGAUUUUUUCAUAUACCAGAGGUAUUUCAACAUUAUGAUGCUAAAAUAAUUUUAAACCAAACCCAUAUAGUAAAAUAGUUGUUGUCUAUUUGCUUUAAAACGGUGGAUAUAUUUGUAUAACAAACACCUUAAUAAGCCCAGCAACCAACACAAAUUGUCUUGUUAAAAUGGCCGAACUCAGUAAUACUUCUGCAUAGCAAACUGGCUGGUUGGAUUGAAAAACAGGGUGCAAAACAAUCAACAACAAUAAUUACUGAGUAAAUAAAUGAAUGUCUUCUGGUGGCUUCACAGCAAGGUCAGUGUGUGUGUAGGUGGACUAGUCCUGAUACAAAGAGGUAUUCAUUUAAAAUGAAUUUAGCAAAGAGCGGUCCACUGAAUCAUGGAGUAACCAGCUGGCUAUGCAAACAGAGCAAUACAUUUAACACAGAUUUUCAAGCCUAAAAAACAACACACAAUCUCAGAGUUUAAACACAAUUUAUUUAUGCUUAAAUAAUCAACUAGAUCAUCCAGUGUUUGUUGGUUUUUCAUACAUGUUAUUUGAUCUACUAUCCAUGAAUGCUUUAGGUGUUUUCAUAUGAAGAGAUUCAAUGGAAGGAAAUAUUUCACCAAAACCCAAAUAAAAAUGCCCUUUUUAACCACAGCAGCCUUAAAUCCUAUUAAUACACUGCUAGAAUGAUUACAAACGACCGGCUUACGUAAAGACUUCUACAUCUUAUAGCCAAUACACAUGAUACAGUUAUAAUUUUACAGCGUGCCAGUCUACAGGGUACAUUCUGAUUUCUCUCCAAGUGUUCAAGCCCAUGUCUGCAGAGGCCAUCCUUUAUCAGCAAGCAGUAAA